rnacentral:lncRNA from 1 species
ACCCCUAAAUCAACGUGUACUGUUCUUCUUCUCCGAAGAACACGCGAACCAAUCCCCAAACUCUGCUUAGAUCUGGGCGAGUGAAUGCUAAAUCCAUAAUUCACGCGUCCCUACUUCUCUUAUCUCACCAGUUCAAACGAUUUCUGACACUAAUAAUGAUCCCCCCUUCACUCGCUCAAGUCCGAGAUGAGGCACGCGAUUGGAAUGUCCUAGAGACGAUUCGUUGGAUGAGGAUGAGUCGUUGGAUUGAUCUCAUUCAAUCCAAGCCCCAUUUUCAUCAAGGGUUUCUCUAUAAAGGACAAUAUCCGGUAUUAAGAGGGAGGUUUUUUUUCGGAGGAUUUGGUGGCAGAUUUUGAGAGGAAGCCGAAACUCUAGAUAUUAGUCUUCUUUAUCUUUAUUGUUGAUUUUCAUUCGUAGUAUUAACUUCAAAACAUAUACAAAAAUGUUCGAUAUUUUGUGAUUCCACUGUUGUUUGAUUUACUCUCUAUCAGCUUCGAAAUACAUGAAUUCCGUCUUCAAAGUUAUUGGAACUCGUUGUUGAUUGAAGCAUCGAUUUGUGGCUGCUGUUGCUUUGUGUUGAUUUUAGUGUUGAGAUUCUUUCAAAUUUUCAUUCCAGGUUCACCCUUGUUCCUUCUUUUAUUUCUGUUAUGAAGUGAGCCCUAGACGGCCCUGGACAGAUUGUAAGAUGAAUUCAAUUACAAUAAUAGAUGAGGAUUGUGUGGUUAUCUUCGUCUUUAUUUACUGUUAUGCUUUCAACAUAUUCCAUGAGUUCAAAUGAUUAGUGAGUUAGUUAUAAAUGGUUGAAGAUCAAACUUGUUUGGUUUCAACAUCGUAUCUGUGUUUAUAUGGACUUUGUAGAUUGUUUUUGGUAUCAUCUUUCGGUUUAGCCCUGCUUAGAACAUGAAUCAUGUUGAUGUUGCAAACUUGGUAGAUGUACAUCCCUAUAUACUGUCAAGGUUGUUUCCUUGUUGCAUCUGUUCGAGAAUAAGCUUUGAUUAGCUCCCGCUGCUGAUGUUUGAACCCAGCGUGAGUGUUUAAGGAAUCUUUGAGAUGCUGGGAAUUGGACGUCAUCUUAUGGUCCAGAUUUAACUGUCAAUACUUCUUCUCUUGUUUUCUCUUUGCUAGUUUUGGUUUUCAGUCGGAAUAUGCUAUUAAUUUAACUAAACAUUAGCGGUUUCUCGCUAAGUGAUGAUCAUUCCUUAAUUGUUUGAAUUUGAAUCUAUCCUAGUCCAUCUUGUUGACAAAAUUCAGAUAUGCCUCUUUGAUCUGCUUGUGUCUGCCUACGAAUGUGUGGUUUGAUCCAUGACGCUGGACUUUAUUGUUGAAAUAAUUGCCUGACCUGCUGACUUACUCGUUCUAUUUGCACGCCAGUUGUAAUAAGUCAUGUUCCCCUAGAUGUUGUGCUGCUUUUGUGAUUGAUUCUGCCCAAAUGUUUCUUUGCUUGAAAUUGUUAGCAUCAUUAGCUAUUCGAUUUAUCGUCGUCUUAACUUCGUGGCACUACUGUUAAUUUUGGUUUUUGUAAAACUGUCAGUCAACUUUAUUCUCCAUCACGUUGAGUUGCUUCCUCUUUAGUCUUAAUGAGUUGUUUUAUGGCAUUACUCGCUUGUCUGCUCUGACGUAUUGGAUGAUUUACUCGUCGAAUAUCAACCCUCCUAUCAGUCUUCUGAAAUGCAGAGAUCAUGAAUGGGAUUAAAAUGGCUCAUUUGGUUCUGUUUGUGAAGUUCAAAUUCAUGUGUUAACUUCAGCAUUUGUUGAGCAACUUUAUUAGCUAACUCGUGAGGAGAUAAGGAACCCAUAGAUGUAAAAAUUUCUUAAGUUUCGAAACGUGGGCCCGAGGCUCGGGUUUUUAUUAAUUUCGAGAAUUUUGGUAUUUUUUGUUUGUUUUGGUUGGGAUUUAUUUCCAUUACUUAUUAUGAUGUAUUCGUUUUGAUUUUGGAUAGAUUCGAUGCACGUGGAGGCCAAUUCGAGGGGCAAAGGCGUCGUGAGCUAAAGAAGUAGCUAGUUCGAGGUAAGUAAUGAUUGUAAAUGAUGUCCUGAGGUUUGAAACCCCGGAUUGUUCAUCGUAGUGCUAUAUUGAUGUGAGACACACGCUGGAAGAUAAGCGCGAGGUCUUUUACUACUGGGGAUCGUGACUUGGUCCGUUCGGAUUGAUGAUUUUAGUGCAUAUUUGACUCAAACUGAUUUGUUAUCAUCAUGAUUUGGGAUGAUUGUCAUAUUUGGGCUUCAUGCCAAUUAUUUGAACCCUUCGGGGAAUUUUAUCACUAUUGCCUCUCUGUUUUGACUUAUAUUUAAACUCAGUCCUAUAGAUAUUUAUGGUUUUACAAACUCAGUCACUUUUAUACAGAUUUGAAACCUAAAUGAUAUUUUUAAAUGAUAUUUUGGGAUGAGAACAACUGUUUUACAAAUGCCCGAGGGGCUUAUGAUAAUUUUUGGACUGAGUGAGGCCGAGGGCCAUAUGUGAGUAUAUGCUGAGUGAUAUGAGGCAGAGGGCCUGAAUUACUAUUUAUGCCACGCGGUGGCUUGAGUGAUGUGAGGAGACUUUCAGGCCUUGUGAGUGAUGUAAUGAGGAUUUCAGGCCUUACGAAUGAUGUGAUUAUUAUUGUGCUUGGGUUGUAGGAGCCCCUCCGGAGUAUGCACACCCAUAAUGAUCACGAGUACCAUUAUGCUGAGUGAUUGAUACUAUGCCUGCGGGGCUGAUAUGAGUCAUUGUGAGGUAGCCCUAGGGACUGAUACUGUUUUGAGAGUGAGCCUGAGGGCUGAUACUGUAUUGAGUGAUACUGUGCCCGAGGGGCAAACCUCUACUUGUUAUUUUGACACUGUGCCCGAGGGGCAGAUUUCUACUUAUUAUUUUGAUACUGAGCCCGAGGGGCAGAUUUCUACUUGUUAAUUACUGCCAAAUUACCUAUUUUACUUGUUUUAAAAAAGAUUUCAUUUGAUGUUCCACUGAUUUACUGGUUUUAAGUGAUUUUACUGCUUCUGUAUAGAAUGCUUUGUGCAUUUAUAUAUUUUCUUGCUUUCAGCCAUUAUUUAUAUUUAUUACUCACUGGGUCGGAGUACUCACAUUACUCCCUGCACCAUGUAUGCGGAUUCAAGCAUUGCAGAUUUCAACUCAUGAGAGUUGAUCCUUCCAGUCCAGGCAGUGUUUCGGAGACUACGAGGGGAUGAAUUGGUAUUGAUAAUAUCAUAUGCUUGACAUGAAUCUAUUCUGAAACAACUCUCUUUGCAAGUUAUUGCAUUCAUAAGCUACCGAUGGAGUUUACAACUAUAUGUAAUGCAUCUCGCAUCUUUCAGACAGGUUGUUUGUAUUUUGGAACCUGGAGUCCACAUAAUAUAUUUCCUCCUUUCUUGUUCUGAUAUAUGCUUUGCAACUUUGUUGUUGGGUUGGGGAAACUCAGUACUAGCAGGACACUGACUACACUUGCCAAAAUCAGCGGCAAUUUUUCAUAUUAUUGAAGC